rnacentral:lncRNA from 1 species
AGGGCAUUCGUCUUGAUUUAUUAUUGUUUUUUAAUUUUGACUUUAAAAAUGUUGCAUCAGGAUGACUUAUCUUGAGUCCUAAGUUUUGUUUUUUAACUUCUGAGGGUCUGUGGUCCCCUUGCCUAGAUCCAGUUCAUGGACCCAGUUCAUGAAUCCAGUGGCAUUAGGACAUUUUUUUCAUACACACAUAUCCUCGUGCUUUGUUUAUACCCCCUACCAUCCACAAAUUUACCGUCCUACCUAAAUAACUUUUAUGAAAAUAUCACACCUAGGCUGACUUUGGCAUUUGUAAGCCCCAUUGAGCAGCAUGCUGAGUUUCUGGCUAGCUGCUCUGAGAUGGCACUGCGUUCUAUAGGUAAUGGGUGAGUCUGGUUGUGUGUUAAUGUAGAUUUUUAAAAGUUGGGCAAGAUGCAGAAAAGCUGCAAAUGAACAAUGUAAACCAAGGUGGCAUGAAAAAUGUCAGGGUGGGUGCGAGAACCUGGAACCAAUAUUCAAACAGCGUGCAAGUUUCGAUUUUUCUUUGUUACCGUGUCAGUGUUUCGAAAAGUCUAAAUUAUGCCUGUAAAAAUUUAACAUAUGUAUACAUAUGUAUGAAAGUUUACAACUUAGCAGGGGUGGGACAGACAAGCACAAUAGUGGGUUUCACCUUGAGUAAAAGGCAGAACGAAGUGCUACAAUUUGGCUUUCUUUCCUUUCUUUCUCUCUUUCUCUCUCUCUCUCUUUCUUUCUUUCUUUCUUUCUUUCUUUCUUUCUUUCUCUCUCUCUCUCUCUCUCUCUCUCUUUCUUUCUUUCUUUCUUUCUGUUUUUUUAAAGAGUUAUUUAUUUAUUAUAUGUAAGUAAGUACACUGUAGCUGUCUUCAGACACUUUUUCUUCUCACUCUGGCCCUGCUCGCAUGCUGUAGCUGUCGUCAGACACCCCAGAAGAGGACAUCAGAUCUCAUUACGGAUGGUUGUGAGCCAUCAUGUGGUUGCUGGGAUUUGAACUCAUGACCUUCAGAAGAGCAGUCAGCGUUCUUAACCACUGAGCCAUCUUCUCCAGUCCCCACAAUUUGGUUUGUUACAGUGUUGGAGUCAUGGGGCGUUCUGGCAUCUUCUCAGAGACCCAUAAAGGCAUCCUCUUCUAUACUCCGCUUCAGUCUGCAACUUCCUCAUCUCCUUGUCCAGCCUCCUUUGUCUCUCUCCUGACUUAUGGCUCCAAACAUGGCCUCCUGCCUCCCCAUGGUUCUCAAAUCAAUUUUGCCCCAUAGGGCAAAAUUUGUUGCUGUCAUAACUGAGAGAGUGCUGCUGUCGCUAGUCAGGACAGGACAGGGAUGCUAAUGAACUCCAACAGGGCAUGUGACAGGCCCCCUCCCUAGUAAGGAAUUACCAGCCCCAAACACCAAUGGUGCUCAUGUAGAGCUUCUAGGCUCCUCUUUCCCACUCACAGAGGCCCAGUUCAGCAGGCAAAACAAUUUUUAUUUUCUAAAACAUAAAUCUUUUACUUUCUGAAGUUUCUUUUCUUGCCUUGGACUUUUAUUGCAUUCUCAUUGCCUGAGGAGUGAAAAAUCUGAAUCCAUACACAGGAGCACAAAACCUCCAUUGCUUAGUUCUGUCUCUUUCUCUGCCUGUCUUUCUGUCUCUCUGUCUCUGUCUCUCUCUCUCUCUCAUUCCCUUCCCACUCAUCCUUUAGAGGCAUACCAAGUCAUUGCUUACUGGUUGGACUUAGCAGAAGGUAUUUUCCAAAUCAGGGCCAAUUUCUCAUCCUACUUUGUGUGGUAGUUUGAAUGAGAAUGGCUCCCAUAGGCUCAAGUUUUUUUUUUUUAAUUAAUUUAUUUUUAUGUAUAUAAGUAAAUGUAGCUGUCUUUAGA